rnacentral:rRNA from 1 species
GACGAACGCUGGCGGCAUGCCUAAUACAUGCAAGUAGAACGCUGAAGACUUUAGCUUGCUAAAGUUGGAAGAGUUGCGAACGGGUGAGUAACGCGUAGGUAACCUGCCUACUAGCGGGGGAUAAUUAUUGGAAACGAUAGCUAAUACCGCAUAACAGCAUUUAACCCAUGUUAGAUGCUUGAAAGGAGCAAUUGCUUCACUAGUAGUGGGACCUGCGUUGUAUUAGCUAGUUGGUGGGGUAACGGCUCACCAAGGCGACGAUACAUAGCCGACCUGAGGGGGUGAUCGGCCACACUGGGACUGAGACACGGCCCAGACUCCUACGGGAGGCAGCAGUAGGGAAUCUUCGGCAAUGGGGGCAACCCUGACCGAGCAACGCCGCGUGAGUGAAGAGGGUUUUCGGAUCGUAAAGCUCUGUUGUAAGAGAAGAACGUGUGUGAGAGUGGAAAGUUCACACAGUGACGGUAACUUACCAGAAAGGGACGGCUAACUACGUGCCAGCCGCCGCAGUAA